rnacentral:rRNA from 1 species
GAUCAUGGCUCAGGACGAACGCUGGCGGCGUGCUUAACACAUGCAAGUCGAACGAAGAGCGAUGGAAGCUUGCUUCUAUCAAUCUUAGUGGCGAACGGGUGAGUAACGCGUAAUCAACCUGCCCUUCAGAGGGGGACAACAGUUGGAAACGACUGCUAAUACCGCAUACGAUCUAAUCUUGGCAUCGAGGAUGGAUGAAAGGUGGCCUCUAUGUAUAAGCUAUC